rnacentral:lncRNA from 13 species
CAUGGAGCUAUUUGGCCACAUACAUAUGAUACUCUUUAAGAAAAGGAAAGAAUGACUCCAAAGACAAGUCAGAGAUUAUCAGUCCUGGAGAAAAGGAGCUGAAACUGGAGCUGGCUCUUCAGUUUCAAUGGGCUAGGAUUACACUAUGGUGAGGUGUUGAAGGCUGCCUUCACAGAAAGCAGGGGUGGAGCCCUUGAAGAGAGCUGCCUAGCUGAGCUGUGAAGAUGAUGUAAGUGUGACAUUGCAACCCCAGUCGGCCUGGAGGGGAGAACAUUGAACCAGAGAGAAUUAUUCAUGAUCCUUAACAUCGAAUGAGACAUGGUCUUGCACUGUUUCCCAGGCUGAAGUGCAGUGGUAUGAUCAUGUCACACUGCAGCCUUGAAAUCCUGAACUCAAGCGAUCCUCCUACCUCAGGCUUCACAAGUAUUGCUUUUCCACACCACUUGCCAACACUCCGAAGACAUACAAAACUAGGAUGAAUUUCUACCCACGGCAAAGGAAUGGAGAAAACCAGCCUGUGCUGCUUUCACCCUCUAUUAUAGAAUUAUAGACUGGAGAAUGGGCAGAAAGGCAGAGAAAUAAACAGGGAUCAGAUUAUAAAAGUUUCCUUAUU